rnacentral:rRNA from 1 species
ACUUAAAUUGAAGAGUUUGAUCAUGGCUCAGAUUGAACGCUGGCGGCAGGCCUAACACAUGCAAGUCGAGCGGUAGCACAGAGAGCUUGCUCUCGGGUGACGAGCGGCGGACGGGUGAGUAAUGUCUGGGAAACUGCCUGAUGGAGGGGGAUAACUACUGGAAACGGUAGCUAAUACCGCAUAAUGUCGCAAGACCAAAGUGGGGGACCUUCGGGCCUCAUGCCAUCAGAUGUGCCCAGAUGGGAUUAGCUAGUAGGUGGGGUAACGGCUCACCUAGGCGACGAUCCCUAG